rnacentral:lncRNA from 1 species
AGUAUGCUACGUAUGAUUUGCAAGGCAUGAAAAGAAAUGUGUUUGUACUAUUAUUCACAAGGGAAAUUUAUAACUAGGGGGGUCAAACUGCUGGUUUAACGCCCAGGCCCAUUCACCUAGUCCCAGACUUGCUCAGGUAAUUCCAGAUUGGGCCUUAUUACAAGUCUGGCCCAAGUUGUAUUCAAACAGUUCUGCAAUAAUGGGGCUAUGCUUAUUACAAAGUAAAUCAUCCUGUUAUGAACCUAAACUAGUAGCCGUACAUAAUCAAGCUCUAAUUUAAGGCAUUCUAACAGUCCAUCUGACAGUCCGUAAAUUACAACAUACUCCUAACUACAACCAAGUAUAUAAAGAAGAAAAGAAAGGAAAAUUUUAAAGUAUAGAACAAUAUUUUUCCUAACUUCGGGCCUUUCAAAUGUUACCAAAUCCUUCAAGCCAGCUUCAACUUGCAUGAAAUCAGCUAUAGAGUUGUUUCUCACAGGCCAACAUUUGAUUCCAGCCAUGAGGUUUCUUUGCCUUAUUGCCACUCACACACAAACAUCAGAAAUAAAAGGGAAAUUUCAGUAGUUGUGAAGAAUCUAUUUAACAAUGUAUUAUCAAGUAAAAAAAAAAAGCAAAGCAGGCAGAAAAAACAGUUGAACAACUUCAAAAGUCAAGGUUCAGUUUUAGUAUAAGUCAGAAAUAGACUCAUAGGUAUAUAUAAAAUAGACACACUAGUUCAAACAAUCACAUAGUAGAUCCAUAGACUUUUACUCUUUUCAUGUCAAACAUCAAUUAACAGAAGAAAACCUCAAAAGUUUAAAUGAAACAAAGUUUACUAAUUAACAUGUUAAAUGUGAAGGAAUCAACAAAUGAUAAGAGAUGAUCAAAAAACUUCAUAGAACAGAUGAAAGCUAUCAACUUAUUCAUGCCAAAAAUUAAGUAUUAGAUUUAAGGCAAAUACCUGAUUACAGCAAAAUAGACUAUACCAAGAAAAAUAGGUCUCUUAAAUAGCAAAAAACCAGCCACAAAAUAAGUGAACAGUUGAUUGAAUAUUAAAGAUGGAGCAGCCACCAAAACCCAAACAAGCAGCAAUAAAACCACAGCCCAAAAAACCAAGAUCCAACCUCAAGCUUCCAAAAAAUCAGAGUGCUCGAAAAAGAUAACCUAAAAUCUAGCUAGAAAAACAUAAGUUUUUUAGGCCAGAGAAAGUUUCAAAUGUUUUCUUUGCAUUCUAAAUUUUGGUCUAACUGUGAUGAUUCGUGUAUAUGUGAAUGAGUGAAGAAAAGGUAACAUAUAUAGGCACAAAAAAUGUCAUGUGCUGAAAGAAUAAAGGAAUCAUUCCAUCAACCACAAAAGGCAUAUUUAACAUAGUUGGAUAGUUGACUAUCCCUAAUUGGUUUCAGUACUUUUGUACUAACCAAAUGAGGCUAGUUGCCCCCUAUUCUAGAACCUUCCAGCAUGGUCUUUAUCCCAUUUCAGAUUUAUCCACCCCUCAUGACCCCUUAAGUUUUUCUUUUGUUCAAAUAAACCCUUACAAUUUUAUAAUGAUGCGCAGAUCAAACAAACAUGGACUAGGCCAGCAAUUAACAAAAAUAAUGAUCAAUUAUGAUGAAAUCAGUAGGAACUUUAUGUAAUGAAACUACUAAAACAUGCCAAUUUACAAUAACACAAGCAAGAUGAAAAAAACACAUGAAGCUGGGGCGUUGAGAACCCUAAAUCAUGUGAACUAAAAUAUAGUGAAGAAGAGAAAAAGAAGAUUAACAGAAGACAUAACGAAAAAAACACCACAAAUGAUUUAAAACAAACAAAAUAACCAAAUUCUAUAGCCAUGAACUAAUAAUUAAACUAAAUAAACAUGAGCUUAAACCAAAUUAAAAACAAACAUAACGGCAGAACCUAAUUGAACAUGCAUAAAAAGUUACUGACUUGAAAAAAAAGAAAAAUAAUGGAGAAGACAGUGUGAGGCCUUACCAGAACAAACAUCAAAAAGAAAUUUGGACCAGGGUUCAUAAGAGGCUGGCUAGACUCUGGUCAUGCUUUGAAAUAGGUCCAAACAUACAAUAAGCAAUCGUUCUUGCUGAGAACGAUUAGUUAUUGUAAAUUUAGACCCAAGUUGUACCUUGAAGCUCAAAGGACCAGAAGAAAAAUAAAAAAAAAGGGGUAACCUCGGAUUUCUGGGGUCUCAGAUUCAAGGUUCGAGGAGAUUGGGACUGAUUCGAAAGGAAUUGUGGUGAUAUUUGGAGAGAGGAUGAGAAGGACAUUAUAGGGUGUUAUUCUGGUAGGGUUUGGAGAAACUCCGCCGCCGUAAAGCGAUUUCUGGGCGGCGGAGCCGACAAGAGAAUAGGGGUGGCUAGGGUUUCACAUUGGAGAGGGUUAGAGACGGAAUGAGAGGG